rnacentral:tRNA from 1 species
ACGGGAAUAGUUCAGUUGGUAGAACGACGGUCUCCAAAACCGUAGGUCGUGAGUUCGAGUCUUACUUCCCGUGCCA